GACGAACGCUGGCGGCGUGCUUAACACAUGCAAGUCGAGCGGAAAGACGCUGCUCUUGUUGGUUGCACGUGUGGCGAACGGGGGAGUAUAACGUGUGUAACCUGUACUUGUCUGUGGGGUAACAUCAGGGGACAGGGGCGAAUACCGGGUAGGAUCUCCUGCUGCAUGUGGGGGGAUGGAAAAAUACGGGGGUGCGGGAUGGACUCGCGGCUUAUCAGCUUCUUGGUGUGGUAGUGGCUUACCAAGGCUUUGACGGGUAGGCGGCCUGGGAGGGUGACAGGCGACAUUGGGACCGACAGAAGGCAGAGGCUGCGAAGGGUGGGAGCAGUGGGGAAUAUUGCACGAUGGGCGAAAGCCUGAUGCAGCAACGCCGCGUGCCGGAUAACGGUCUUAGUGUUGUAAACCGAAUUCGCAUGUAACGAAGCGUGUGUGACGGUAAUGGGUACAGAAGCCCCGGCUAACUACGUU
rnacentral:rRNA from 1 species